rnacentral:rRNA from 1 species
AUUGAACGCUGGCGGCAUGCUUUACACAUGCAAGUCGAACGGCAGCGCGGUCUUCGGCCUGGCGGCGAGUGGCGAACGGGUGAGUAAUGCAUCGGAACGUGCCCAGUAGUGGGGGAUAGCCCGGCGAAAGCCGGAUUAAUACCGCAUACGACCUGAGGGUGAAAGCGGGGGACCGAAAGGCCUCGCGCUAUUUGAGCGGCCGAUGUCGGAUUAGCUAGUUGGUGGGGUAAAGGCUUACCAAGGCGACGAUCCGGAGCUGGUCUGAGAGGACGACCAGCCACACUGGGACUGAGACACGGCCCAGACUCCUACGGGAGGCAGCAGUGGGGAAUUUUGGACAAUGGGGGCAACCCUGAUCCAGCCAUGCCGCGUGCGGGAAGAAGGCCUUCGGGUUGUAAACCGCUUUUGUUCGGGAAGAAACCGUAUGGGCUAAUAUCCCGGGGUGAUGACGGUACCGGAAGAAUAAGCACCGGCUAACUACGUG